rnacentral:rRNA from 1 species
GACGAACGCUGGCGGCGUGCUUAACACAUGCAAGUCGAACGAAGCUUGAUUACGGAUUCUUCGGAUGAAGUAUGAUAUGACUGAGUGGCGGACGGGUGAGUAACGCGUGAGUAACCUGCCCUUCAGAGGGGGAUAGCGUUUGGAAACGAACGGUAAUACCGCAUAAUGUAUUUUGACCGCAUGAUCGAAAUACCAAAGAUUUAUCGCUGAAGGAUGGACUCGCGUCUGAUUAGGUAGUUGGGGGGGUAACGGCCUACCAAGCCGACGAUCAGUAGCCGGACUGAGAGGUUGAUCGGCCACAUUGGGACUGAGACACGGCCCAGACUCCUACGGGAGGCAGCAGUGAGGAAUAUUGCACAAUGGGCGCAAGCCUGAUGCAGCAACGCCGCGUGAAGGAAGACGGUUUUCGGAUUGUAAACUUCUGUUCUUAGUGAAGAAUAAUGACGGUAGCUAAGGAGCAAGCCACGGCUAACUACGUG